UACGAAGGGGGGCUAGCGUUGCUCGGAAUCACUGGGCGUAAAGCGCACGUAGGCGGCUUGUUAAGUCAGGGGUGAAAUCCUGGAGCUCAACUCCAGAACUGCCUUUGAUACUGGCGAGCUUGAGUCCGGGAGAGGUGAGUGGAACUGCGAGUGUAGAGGUGAAAUUCGUAGAUAUUCGCAAGAACACCAGUGGCGAAGGCGGCUCACUGGCCCGGUACUGACGCUGAGGUGCGAAAGCGUGGGGGAGCAAACAGG
rnacentral:rRNA from 1 species